rnacentral:rRNA from 1 species
AUUGAACGCUGGCGGCAGGCCUAACACUUGCAAGUCGAGCGGAGCGGCGGGCGGGUGGGUAGUGCCUAGGCAUCUGCCUGGUCGUGGGGGAUGACGUCAGGAAACGGGCGCUGAUCUCGCACACUCUGCGAUCGGCCUAGGUCGGAUUAGCUAGGUGGGGGGGUAAAGGCCUACCAAGGCGACGAGCCGUAACUGGUCUGAGAGGAUGAUCAGUCACACUGGAACUGAGACACGGUCCAGACUCCUACGGGAGGCAGCAGUGGGGAAUAUUGGACAAUGGGCGAAAGCCUGAUCCAGCCAUGCCGCGUGUGUGAAGAAGGCCUUCGGAUUGUAAAGCACUUUAAGCUGGGAGGCGUUACCCACAGAAGAAGCACCGGCUAACUCCGUGCCAGCAGCCGCGGUAAUUC